rnacentral:rRNA from 1 species
AUUGAACGCUGGCGGCAUGCUUUACACAUGCAAGUCGAACGGUAACAGGCCUUCGGGUGCUGACGAGUGGCGCACGGGUGAGUAAUGCAUCGGAACGUGCCCAGAGGUGGGGGUUAACGCAGCGAAAGCUGUGCUAAUACCGCAUGUGAUCUGAGGAUGAAAGCGGGGGACCAAGCAGCAAUGUUUGGCCUCGCGCCUCUGGAGCGGCCGAUGUCAGAUUAGGUAGUUGGUGGGGUAAAGGCCUACCAAGCCGACGAUCUGUAGCUGGUCUGAGAGGACGACCGGCCAGACGGGGACUGAGACACGGCCCAGACUCCUACGGGAGGCAGCAGUGGGGAAUGUUGGACAAUGGGCGCAAGCCUGAUCCAGCAAUGCCGCGUGCGGGAAGAAGGCCUUCGGGUUGUAAACCGCUUUUGUAAGGAAAGAAAAGGCUCUGGGUAAUACCUGGGGCUGAUGACGGUACCGUAAGAAUAAGCACCGGCUAACUACGUG